rnacentral:rRNA from 1 species
GACGAACGCUGGCGGCGUGCUUAACACAUGCAAGUCGAACGGAAAGGCCCUGCUUUUGUGGGGUGCUCGAGUGGCGAACGGGUGAGUAACACGUGAGUAAACUGCCCUUGACUUUGGGAUAACUUCAGGAAACUGGGGCUAAUACCGGAUAGGAGCUCCUGCUGCAUGGUGGGGGUUGGAAAGUUUCGGCGGUUGGGGAUGGACUCGCGGCUUAUCAGCUUGUUUGUGGGGUAGUGGCUUACCAAGGCUUUGACGGGUAGCCGGCCUGAGAGGGUGACCGGCCACAAUGGGACUGAGAUACGGCCCAGACGCCUACGGGAGGCAGCAGGGGGGAAUAUUGCGCAAUGGGCGGAAGCCUGAUGCAGCAACGCCGCGUGCGGGAUGACGGCCUUCGGGUUGUAAACCGCUUUCGCCGGUGACGAAGCGUGAGUGACGGUAAUGGGUAAAGAAGCACCGGCUAACUACGUG